CCCGGUUAACUGGAGGACAAGUGUUUUCACAGGCUGAGCAGCACCGACCAGGACGCCUGAACUGUGUUUGAAGAGUUUAACAUCAAAAAGACUAAUAAUGAUGAUGAUGAUGAUGAGUGCAAAUCAAACUUAGUGACUAAUCGGUCUGGACGCCAGCUUUUUCCUCCUGGCAGCGUCUCAAAGUCUUCUGGGAGCUCGGAGCCUGAUGGAGUCUGACAGCUGAUCUCCCCGAUGCAUAUUCACAAAAUGACCACGAAGGAGAACGAGAGGCGAGGCGCUUACAAGAGCAACGGAGAAACGAAGGAGCGUGGGAGAGCAGCUCACAGUCUUCUCCAGAGACAUAUCUACUGUUCAUAGACGCCACAUUGGACGCUUCAGCCCGUUGCGGCGAUACGUUAACGUGGGUGCCGUAGGGUUACAGGCCAGUCUUGCCAGGUCCAAUAUGGCGCCCACGUUGACGUAUGAUCCAGGAGUCAGUGCAGCGUCUACGUAUAUAUAUGUAUAUAUAUAUGUCUGUGGUCUUUCUCUACCUGCAGCUCUAGUUUACUAUCAUGCAACAUCUUUAAUCACUUAAAAACACAGCAGCUCAUUUCAUUCACAAUCACUAAUCCUAAUGCAGCUCAGAGGUCAGAGGUCAGAGGUCAGAGGUGAGCCUCCACCUGUGCACAUGAGCCUUUUCAUGUCUGAAUGAGUGAAGAGGGAAACACCCUUUCUGCCAUUCUGCUGCUCAUCUCAACCAGCUGGAACAACAGAGGGAGGGACGUUCCCACACUAUUAUUAUCAGGCUUCAUUCACUCCAGUCAAAGAGUCUGGAGUUACAGCGGGAGACAAGUGGACGUAACGUUCUGUCUUUACAUAAAGUACAAACCACUGCUCUUUACCAUUUUUAAAUUGAUGUUCUAAUGCCAGAAUAUAUCUGCUUCAUCUGAGUCUAUGUGGAGGUAGAAGGAAGUUACCGCUUUUAUUGUGGUAGUCUGAGUAACGUGACGUCAUAUCCGUUCCGUAUCCGUCAACCAAAACAAACCGUACCGAGCCGAGACGAGGAAGUAGAAAACGUCAGAGGGUCGUCGUGGAUACGACCUGCACCCUCACAUGUUAAAUCCAGCGUGGUAAACACUACACAUCCAGUAAAGGAUGGAAACACUUUGGGUUUCACACGUUGACAGGAAAAGCAGAGCUAGACAGAGCAGAGCUAAAGCUGCAUGCUAACUUCUAAAUAAAAAAGACCAAAAUAUGUCGGAAAAUAAGUCCGAACAAAAGUUGAAAAAAGACAGAAAAAAGCCGAAAUAUAUAUUAAAAAAAAAAGUAAGAAAAAAUGCCAAAUUAUGUCCGAAAUAUGGCCAAAACAAAAGUCCAAAAAUAGGCCGAGAUAUGUCUGAAAAAAUUCCAAAGUAUGUCCGAAAUAUGACGAAAAAAAGUCCAAAAAAAGGCAGAAAUAUGUCUGAAAAAUUCCAAGUAGCAGGAAACGUUAUGGUAUGGCCUCGUCUCCGUGGUCAAAUGGGCCGACGCUAUGACUGUAGAGCACCCAGAUACUGACAUUUAUAUUAAAUGCAUUCAAAUUUGGAGUCAAACUGCUGCAACUAAUGUCUAGUUCACACUGCACGGCUUUAGCCUUCGCACAUGUGUGAGCUCCUCGCCGACACUCGCCGACAUAUUCCAGAUAUCUAGCAUGCUAAAUAGCCGGACCUACAGCCAAUGAGAGCGUGAGACAUGGUUUGAGGGUAAACCUGGGGGAGGAGGAGGGGUUGCCUGUAGCAACAGGAACUUACUGGAUGUGCUGCAUUUACAACACGGAGCAAAGUUGUUGUUGCACCGAGAGGAAUAAAUAGUAAAAAAAUGUGCCAACAGAAACAUCAGCAAUGUGUCUCGCGUUUGGUAUCACGCCAUUUACCGUGUAUUUCUCGCGUGUUUUUCGUGACAAAACGUAGUUUGGAGACCUCAUCGGGGAUUGAAUGUCAUAAGAUAUUCAGUUUAAAAUGAUACCCUUGUUGUAUUUUUCGGGUCAAUCAGUGUCUGUUCCUGUUUGGAGUAAACCUCUUCCUGUUCUUUAUCCUUCAGUCUUAGUGGAGAGCAGUUCUUCCUGUUUGUGUUUUGUAUAUCUGUGCAGAGAGGAGAUGGCAGGAGAGGAUUUAAAACUGAAUGUGAGAGGAGUGUCGGAGGCCAGCAGAACCUGCACUUCAUCAGGAGCAUUUCCAACUGUGCAACCCAAGUCCUGCUGGCAGCGAGUACCUGGCCUCGUCUCUCAACACCUCCCUGCAGGACCUCCUGAGGCUGCGUGACGCACACAGCCGGGUCCGGGUUCAUCCGAACCCACAGAGCUGGAUUCAAUCAAACACAACAUCAAAAGAUGACGUGGUUUCAGGCUCAAAGUUCAGUCCUGAGCUGGUGAGUAUAGCACCAGAUAGUGAGGCCUGUGGAUUUCAUUUGUAUCGCAAGUGCUGGAUAUUAAUGUACAAGACACUGAUGUAUGGAGGACGAAAGCUAUUAAAGUUAUGCAUAAAGAAAAUAACAGAAAUAAAUAAGUUUGGGGAAAUAUAUAAGGGAAAAAUGUAAUAAACUGCAAUAAAUAAAUACAUAAAUAAAUCAAUUGGA